GACGGGACCCGGCACAAGCGGUGGAGCAUGUGGUUUAAUUCGACGAUACGCGAACGAACUUACCUGGCCUGACAUACUAAAAGACUUAAGAGAUUAGAGUGUGCUAGCUUGCUAGAAUUUAAGAUACAGGUGCUGCACGGCUGUCGUCAGCUCGUGUCGUGAGAUGUUGGGUUAAGUCCCGCAACGAGCGCAACCCUCGUGUUUAGUUGCUAACAGUUCGGCUGAGAACUCUAAACAGACUGCCUACGCAAGUAGGAGGAAGGUGAGGACGACGUCAAGUCAUCAUGGCCCUUACGGCCAGGGCUACACACGUGCUACAAUGGGGUAUACAAAGAGCAGCGAUACGGUGACGUGGAGCAAAUCUAGAAAAAUGCCUCUCAGUUCGGAUUGUAGUCUGCAACUCGACUACAUGAAGUUGGAAUCGCUAGUAAUCGUAGAUCAGCAAUGCUACGGUGAAUACGUUCCCGGGUCUU
rnacentral:rRNA from 1 species